CCUACGGGGGGCAGCAGUCGAGAAUCAUUCACAAUGGGGGAAACCCUGAUGGUGCGACGCCGCGUGGGGGAAUGAAGGUCUUCGGAUUGUAAACCCCUGUCAUGUGGGAGCAAAUUAAAAAGAUAGUACCACAAGAGGAAGAGACGGCUAACUCUGUGCCAGCAGCCGCGGUAAUACAGCGGUCUCAAGCGUUGUUCGGAAUCACUGGGCGUAAAGCGUGCGUAGGCUGUUUCGUAAGGCGUGUGUGAAAGGCGCGGGCUCAACCCGCGGACGGCACAUGAUACUGCGAGACUAGAGUAAGGGAGGGGGAACCGGAAUUCUCGGUGUAGCAGUGAAAUGCGUAGAUAUCGAGAGGAACACUCGUGGCGAAGGCGGGUUCCUGGACAUUAACUGACGCUGAGGCACGAAGGCCAGGGGAGCGAAAGGGAUUAGAUACCCCUGUAGUC
rnacentral:rRNA from 1 species